GAAAUAGCAAUGAAGAAAUUCUUUUCUCCUUAAAGUCAGUGAGAAGUAGAAAGAUUUAAGUUAUUUCAAUUUUAACUCUGGUUUUUUUUUUUUUUUUCCUCUUAAUAGGUAACACUGAAACACAAGGAUAGAUCUGAGGGACACAGCAUUCUGUGUACAUUUACAUUCGAGACAAAAUGCUUCACUUAUGCACAUUGAGUAUGCAUGAAGAUAAAAAUGUGCAAAAGUCCUCACCGAAAGACAUUCAGAAAAUAAUUCACAAUAUUUUCUUCAACCAGCAGUCUUUGAAACAAGUUGAUUUCACAAAAGGCUCAGGAAGCUUGCUGAGUUUUGCUACUUUCUGGCAUACAAUAAUAAAUUCCUUGGUGACCAUUCCAUGAAACAGGAGAUUGGCCCUCUUCAGACAUUGGAUCUGCUAUUGCCUUGAC
rnacentral:lncRNA from 1 species